rnacentral:rRNA from 1 species
UACGUAGGGGGCAAGCGUUGUCCGGAUUUAUUGGGCGUAAAGAGCGUGUAGGCGGCUGGGUAGGUCCGUUGUGAAAACUCGAGGCUCAACCUCGAGACGCCGAUGGAAACCCUCCAGCUAGAGUCCGGAAGAGGAGAGUGGAAUUCCUGGUGUAGCGGUGAAAUGCGCAGAUAUCAGGAGGAACACCGAUGGCGAAGGCAGGUCUCUGGGCAUUAACUGACGCUGAGGAGCGAAAGCAUGGGGAGCGAACAGG